AGUACAAGCUUCAUUGAAUGCAGCCUAAAAGUCCGCCAGGCCUAUAGCCACGGGGUGUAAUGGAGAAUAUUGCCUCCUAGACCUUAUCGUCACCCUUCAACAAGUAAUGUAUUAAAUGUGUUUACAUAGUAUUAUGUUAUGGUUUAGUGGAUUCCUCUAAAAUUUGGUUUGCUCCAUCUUAUGAUCUGGUCUGUCUACGGGCCUGAGACCCACACCAAAAAAGCUAAUAAUCAAAAACAAAGUGUCAAUCGGGAUUAAAUAAUAUGUGAUAAAGCGUGCACUAUACUUAUGGGCUUACGUUAUUUAAUUUUUUUAACGAGAUAUAACAAUUAAAAUUUGAUUACCCAUAUUUCGCUUCUUCUUGCUCAGUUUACCAGUUCGUUGAGGAUUAUUUCUCUUAUUACGAAGCCUCUGUUUUUU